AUUGAACGCUGGCGGCAGGCCUAACACAUGCAAGUCGAGCGAGCGGCGGACGGGUGAGUAAUGUAUGGGGACUGCCCGAUAGAGGGGGAUAACUACUGGAAACGGUAGCUAAUAACGCAUACUAUCGGAUAACCCAUAUGGGAUUAGCUAGUAGGUGAGGUAAUGGCUCACCGAGGCGCCGAGCCCGAGCUGGUCCGCGAGGAUGAUCAGCCACACUGGGACUUAGGCACGGCCCAGCCUCCUACGGAGGCAGCAGUGAGGAAUAUUGCACAAUGGGCGCAAGCCUGAUGCAGGCAUGCCGCGUGUAUGAAGAAGGCCCUAGGGUUUUAAAGUACUUUCAGUCGGGAGGCGUUACCGACAGAAGAAGCACCGGCUAACUCCGUGCCAGCAGCCGCGGUAAUAC
rnacentral:rRNA from 1 species